AAAUUUUAUUGUUUUGAAAAUGUUAUUAUGGCAUAAUAGUGAAAGAAAUUAACAUUUUUAUGUUUAAUUCAAAGUAUAGGUUAAGUUUUACUUAGACCUGGUUUUACAAAAAUGGUAAAAGUAAAAUUAGUGUUGAUAAAUCGUCUAUAUUGAUAUGAGUUUUUAGUAGUAUAAAAGGUUAUUACUUUUAUUUAAUAUUUAUAUGAUUGAAUAGUGUAAAAAGAUCAUCUAGGGGUGAUGUCUUUACAGUGUCACGACUUAAUAUAGAAAACCUAAUAUUAUAUAAAUUUAUUAAUGAAUUUACUAAGAUUUUAGUAAAUAUAUAAUUUUCACAUCAGUAAAUAAUGAAUGUUUUUAUAAUGUUUCAUUUAUAAAUAUAAAUAGUGAACUUGUUUUUCAGGAUCGAUUGUUUAUUAAAGACUUAGUCAUCUAAUGGAAGGCCACCGGUGCCCAAUGCCUCAGCCUAAUGAGCCGGUUUAUGGCGGUCUUAACGUGCGGACUUUAAUGUAGCGUAGUGAUCUGCCUUUUAAUUGUAGGCUUUGUAUGAAUCCGGAGAACGAUUUGAAUAUUUGCUUUUUUUAUAUUGAAGUUAAAUUUUUAUUAAGAAUUAUAAAAUGUAAUUAUACUAAGAUAAGUCUUUGGAAGUUUUAUAAUUUAUCUUUUUAUUUUUAAUAAUAUUAUAUUUUCUAUUUUCUAUUAGAAUUUUUCAUAAUAUUUUUUAGGAUAAUCUCUUAUAUUACAUUUGUUUUCCAUUUGUAUAUUAAAAUAUAGUGAUGAAUACGACGCUUUGGGUAAGAAUUUAAGUAAUGGUUUUUUAUCUAAUUUAUACUAACAGAAAUAGCUACUCCAGAGUUAACAGGACGAUUAACCCGUAAAAAAGUCGGGGAAGUGUUACAUCGAUGUUGUAUCUCUUUUAUAUGAUUGUUUGUUGGAUCAUAGCCGUUCCCAUAUAUUCGGACUGUUCCGCCGACAAUUAAGUAUCUCCAGAACGUGAUAUUAGUUUAAUUCGACGCAAGUCAGAGUGGUUAACUAGAUUUAACUAGAUAAUUACUUGGUAAAAUUGAGGGCUAGUACGAAAGGAUCGCACAUAGAAACUAAUGUUUAUUAAAAAGCCCAAAAAAAAUUAUUUAGAUUAUUAAGCUAACGAUUUUUAUUAAUUUAAUUUUAAUUAUUGUUUUUUAAUUAUGAGUUUUUUAAUAACGUUAAUAAUAUUGAGAUUGAUGUAAAACGU
rnacentral:rRNA from 1 species